rnacentral:rRNA from 1 species
UAGGAUUCCCUUAGUAGCUGCGAGCGAACAGGGAAGAGCCCAGCACUGAAUCCCGCGUCCGACACCGGACGCCGGGAAAUGUAGUGUUUGGGAGGAUCCAUUUAUCCCGAGAUCGUGCAAUGCGUCCAAGUCCUUCUUGAACGGGGCCACAGCCCAUAGAGGGUGCCAGGCCCGUAGUUGACCACUGCCGAUAGCGGGAGGAUCUCUCCUCAGAGUCGGGUUGCUUGAGAGUGCAGCCCUAAGUGGGUGGUAAACUCCAUCUAAGGCUAAAUAUGACCACGAGACCGAUAGCGAACAAGUACCGUGAGGGAAAGUUGAAAAGCACUUUGAAGAGAGAGUUCAAGAGUACGUGAAACCGUUCAGGGGUAAACCUGAGAAACCCGAAAGGUCGAAAGGGGAAAUUCAUUCGUGUCUCGAUACUGGCAAUUAAUGGUUGUAUGACAAAUGUUGUUCGCAACAAGUUGCAUCAAUUGUUUUUUGGUCCAGUUGUCGAAUGCGUGCACUUUUCCCCUAGUAGGACGUCGCGAUCCGUUGGGUGUCGGUCUAAGGCCCAUAGUGGAGCCCGUAUGUACGGUUUACGCCGUUUAACGUAUGGACCUAUGGUGUUUCCCGGCCGGCUCGCUCGACGGUAUACAGAUGGCGCGGAGCCGCGAUUCAGUUCGCGUUCGGCCCAUGGCAAGCGCGUACGGUGUUUGUUGGCGAUCGGACCUAGUGCCGAUUCUGACCCCGGACGACUGUUGGCUGUGGUGUUCUCGAACAGACUUCGUUGAAACGCCGAUCUGCGGCGCUAUAGCUUUGGGUACUUUCAGGACCCGUCUUGAAACACGGACCAAGGAGUCUAGCAUGUGCGCGAGUCAUUGGGACAUGACUAAACCUAAAGGCGCAAUGAAAGUAAAGGUUCGUUUUACACGAACCAAGGGAAGAUGAGUGGUUUGCCCUUAAAGUGGCCACUCCGCAUUCCCGGGGCGUCUCAUUCUCAUCGCGAGAAGAGGCGCACCAAGAGCGUACACGCUGGGACCCGAAAGAUGGUGAACUAUGCCUGGUCAGGACGAAGUCAGGGGAAACCCUGAUGGAGGUCCGUAGCGAUUCUGACGUGCAAAUCGAUCGUCGGAACUGGGUAUAGGGGCGAAAGACUAAUCGAACCAUCUAGUAGCUGGUUCCCUCCGAAGUUUCCCUCAGGAUAGCUGGCGCUCGUUGCGCACGAGUCUCAUCCGGUAAAGCGAAUGAUUAGAGGCAUUGGGGUCGAAACGACCUCAACCUAUUCUCAAACUUUAAAUGGGUGAGAUCUCCGGCUUGCUCGAACUUGAAGCCGUGAGAAUAAAACUUUUACGAUCAGAG